GGGCCUUAGCACAUCCUCCUUCCUCCGCCUAUAUACUGUUCUUUCCAUCCUUUAAUUUAAGGGUCUCUACUUCCUUUACACCCCAUUCUUUUCCUUUAAAGUGCUUCUCAUUUUGUCAGCUCACUUUAUCUUUGUUUGUAUCCUGGUUCAUUUUACCGUCUACAGCCCAACAGCAGGGCAUCGGGGUACACCUUCAGUGUCGCUCCCACCAUGUCCUCAACACCUGACAUUCUGGGAACGAGCGAUAAUAUUUGUUGAAUGAAUAAAUAGAUGCUUUCAGAGAUAGAUACUGCUAUUAUCCUCACUUCGACACUGAGGCUCGGGUUAGUCAAGUGGGCCUAGAGCGAGGUCAUAGCUAUCUUGAAUUGCUACUAUUGAUUGAAACCAAAAAACCAUAUGACAAAUACAUGAUCCUGAAGAAAUAUCCAAAUCUCGAUUGUGCAGAAGGCCGGGGAUGUGGCUCAGUGGUGAAGCACAUGCCUAACAAGCACAAGGACCUGGUUUCAUCCCCGGCAUUUCGAGAAAAAGGAGGAAGCAGAGGAGGAGGAACGGAGAGUGAACACAUCCUGUGAACAUUUCAGCUCAUAUCAAGACAGGGUCUCCAGAUCUAUCUGACUGACACAGGCGCAUCUACUCCAGCCACACAGGAACAAGUGUCUAAAGAAGAAUAGUUAUGGAUGUACCUGGUCCCAGCAGGACAAGAAGCCUGGACUAUUUUCUGACAGAAGUGAAGUUUACACCGUGCUUAUGACUAGGAGAGAUGCUCACCAGGGGAGUCCGGUGUCUUAGGAAGUUGAGGAAUGAAGAGAUGCCUGCAUGAAUAUGGUACCACUCAGAAAAUCAGCAAAUUCAGCCCCGCAUGAUUCCUUCAUGGAGAAUAUUUGUUCACUAUCCAUGGGAUAUUUUCUUCAUUGCUGGAAGGAAAGCCAGGCAUGGUGUGGUCACAUCAAAUGACCUGGUGACAAUUAACCCACAUUUUCAGAGAGCAUUCUGGUCCUGUCUAGGCUGGCAUUUGCCUCAGAACUUUCCUCAUCAGCGGGAGUCACUCAGGUGGUCCUUCAAUCUACCUGAAGGCCUUAGACAAGUAAUGUAAACCCUGGGAGAAUGGGGCUCAUAACGAGAUAAGUAACAAAACGCCGCAAGCCUAUUAGAGGGGAAAAUUGGAAAGGUUGCCGCCAAUUAUUAAUAAGUCACAAGAACAUGACAUGUCUAGAGAGUGCCUGGAUGAUAGAGGAGACAUCUCCUGUGUGACGAUCAGAGGUGGCUACCUGCUGCCAGCCUUAGGGACAAUUCCAGCCAUGGUCCAUGUUUGAUAGUCCACAGAGACAGGGAAAAAAAAAAAAACAGUCAAAACUAGAAUGAAUGAAAACAGGAUUAAAAAAAUAUUUUAGAAAAACUUGCAUUUUUUUUUUUACCUUAUCUUUCUUGCAGACAAAUUAAAUUCUUUAUUUUAGCUUGAAUCCAUCAACCUAGGUCAGGAAGAAAAUAAUAAAAUGAUCAUCUCAUCUAAGGCACCAAAAGGCUCCUCGGGAAGUGAAGCCACCCAUUCCUAAUGGAGAGGCGAGGAUUUUGGGUGCGGUGGUGCAUGGCUGUCAACGUAAGCCUCCGAAGGCUAAGGCGGGACAGUGUGUCUGUCCAGCCUACCAGAGCUGAGUGAGUGACAAAAGGCUGGACCUAACAAGAAGCAGCAGGUCCCAGGGUGCGGCAUGUAAGGAGGCCUCAAGCUCAGGCUCCUGCUAGUACAGGCACUUGGGAAGGAAGGCCUCCUCAAAUUUGAUGCUAACCUCGCUUUACCUCAGCAUGCUAGUUCAGAUGCAGAUAAAAUAAAGACUCCUUUACUAAUCAAAAUUAAUUAAAGAAGUACUGGGCUUCC